UACAGAGGGUGCAAGCGUUAAUCGGAAUGACUGGGCGUAAAGGGCGCGUAGGCGGAGCGAUGAGUCAUAGGUAAAAUCCCCGGGCUUAACCUGGGAAGGUCCUGUGAAACUAUCGUUCUAGAAUAUAGGAGAGGGGAGUGGAAUUUCCGGUGUAGCGGUGAAAUGCGUAGAUAUCGGAAAGAACACCAGUGGCGAAGGCGACUCUCUGGCCUAAUAUUGACGCUGAGGCGCGAAAGCGUGGGGAGCGAACAGG
rnacentral:rRNA from 1 species